GCCUGGCUGGCUCAGUCAGUAGAGCAUGUGACUCUUGAUCCUGGGGCCAUGGGUUGAGUCCCAUCCUGGGUG
rnacentral:tRNA from 1 species